AUUGAACGCUGGCGGCAGGCCUAACACAUGCAAGUCGAACGAGUGGCGGACGGGUGUGUAAUGUCUGGGAAACUGCCCGAUGGAGGGGGAUAACUACUGGAAACGGUCGCUAAUACCGCAUACCAUCGGAUGUGCCCAGAUGGGAUUAGCUCGUAGGUGGGGUAACGGCUCACCUAGGCGACGAUCCCUAGCUGGUCUGAGAGGAUGACGUGCGAAACGUGAACUGUGAAACGGUGAAGAAUACUACGAGAGGCAGCAGUGGGGAAGAUUGCACAAUGGGCGAAAGCCAGAUGCAGCGAGGGCGGGUGGAGGAAGAGGGACAUAGGGUUGUAAAGUACUUUCAGCGUGUAGGGGUUAGACGCAGAAGAAGCCCCGGCUAACUCCGUGCCAGCAGCCGCGGUAAUUC
rnacentral:rRNA from 1 species